GUAUUGAAGGUGAUGCCUGCCCGGUGACAUGGCGUUAAACGGCCGCGGUAUCCUAACCGUGCGAAGGUAGCGCAAUCAAUUGUCCCGUAAAUCGGGACUAGUAUGAAUGGCUAAACGAGGUUCUAACUGUCUCUUACAGGCAAUCGGUGAAAUUGAUCUCCCUGUGCAAAAGCAGGGAUAAACACAUAAGACGAGAAGACCCUGUGGAACUUCAAAAUCAGCAGCCACCCCUAAAUACAUAUCCCCCCAACCCGGGCUCACUUAUUCUCACGGGUUAUUGGCUUGCAAUUUUUCGGUUGGGGCGACCUUGGAGCAAAACAAAACCUCCAAAAACUGGACCAUACAUCUAGACUAAGAGCAACUUCUCAACGUGCGAAUAGCAACCAGACCCAAUACAAUUGAUCAAUGGACCAAGCUACCCCAGGGAUAACAGCGCAAUCUCCUCCGAGAGUCCAUAUCGACGGGGAGGUUUACGACCUCGAUGUUGGAUCAGGACAUCCUAGUGGUGCAGCAGCUACUAAGGGCUC
rnacentral:rRNA from 1 species